UACUGUAUUUACGAAUUUAGUACCAAAAUAUCACAAUGUAUUGAAAACAUUGACUACAAAAAUGUGUUGGAUAAUCCAGAACGUUGGAUAAGCGAGUGUUGGAUAAGUGAGUGUAUAUGUUUUCUUCACACACAGAAACCUGGAUCAUAUGGUGAAAAUAGAUGGAGAGAUGGGGAACAACGAAGGAAACACAAAGAACUUACCUUUUCAGAAAUGGAUCCCCAAAUGUUUUAUAGCAGAGCCAACCAUGAGGAAUUUGCUUCUGCUCUAAACUACAGCUGUGAAGAAAAAUGACAAGAGAAGAAGCCAAGACCACAUUCCACUUAUUACAAAUUUUAUUAAUAUAGAAUAAAUGAAAUCCAAUAAUGA
rnacentral:lncRNA from 11 species